rnacentral:rRNA from 1 species
GUAGGUGAACCUGCGGAAGGAUCAUUAUCG